GAUGAAGAACGCAGCGAAAUGCGAUACGUAAUGUGAAUUGCAGAUCUCUCAGUGAACCAUCGAAUCUUUGAACGCACAUUGCGCCCGCCAGCAUUCUGGCGGGCAUGCCUGUUCGAGCGUCAUUUCAACCCUCGACCUCCCCUUGGGGAGGUCGGCGUUGGGGACCGGCAGCACACCGCCGGCCCUGAAAUGGAGUGGCGGCCCGUCCGCGGCGACCUCUGCGCAGUAAUACAGCUCGCACCGGGACCCCGACGCGGCCACGCCGUAAAACACCCAACUUCUGAACGUUGACCUCGAAUCAGGUAGGACUACCCGCUGAACUUAAGCAUAUCAAUAAGCGGAGGA
rnacentral:misc_RNA from 1 species